AAUCCAUGUUGAGGGCAGCGUCAAAUCAAAUCUUUAUACAUUUCCCUUACUUCAUAGAGUAACUCAAAAUCAUUUUAUUUGAAUUGAACAAUCUCACUCCCGAGUUU